AACUGGAGGUAAAGAUGACGAUAACGGCAGUUUUGGAGGCAUGCUAAGCGCCAUUACUGGAAAUAACGACGACAAACCAGCAGGGACGGACUUGAUGGGUGCUGUUAAAGGAUUCUUCUAAUACACAUCCUGCAGACCACACCACUAUCUACAUGCAUUGGGAGUAUUGUUCAAUCACUGUUUUAAUACAGAUCCUGCAGACCACACCACCACAUCUACAACUGAUUUACUUUUUUCUUGACUUAUAUAUAAAAACAAGUUCAGAGUCAUAAAUAGAUGAAAAUGUCACUAUUUAUUCUGUUCUGUUCUUGCUGGUUGGGAAUGUACUGAAAUCUACAAAUGAUAAUUAAGAUGACCUGAACUAAUCUGUUAAACUUGUUAGACAAGACAUGAAAACAUUACUAAACUGGUUUAUUAUCUGGUAAAAUGAAUAAAUAACUAUACUGC